rnacentral:rRNA from 1 species
GGACGAACGCUGGCGGCGUGCUUAACACAUGCAAGUCGAGCGGUAAGGCCCUUUCGGGGGUACACGAGCGGCGAACGGGUGAGUAACACGUGGGUGACCUGCCCUUAGCUCUGGGAUAAGCCUGGGAAACGUGGGUCUAAUACCGGAUAUGACUCCAUGACGCAUGUUGUGGGGUGGAAAGCCUUGUGCGGCUAGGGAUGGGCCCACGGCCUAUCAGCUUGUUGGUGGGGU